rnacentral:rRNA from 1 species
CAGUCGCCGCGGUAAUACGAAGGGUGCAAGCGUUAGUCGGAAUUACUGGGCGUAAAGCGUGCGUAGGCGGUUUGUUAAGUCUGCCGUGAAAUCCCCGGGCUCAACCUGGGAAUGGCAAUGGAUACUGGCAAGCUAGAGUGUGUCAGAGGAUGGUGGAAUUCCCGGUGUAGCGGUGAAAUGCGUAGAGUUCGGGAGGAACAUCAGUGGCGAAGGCGGCCAUCUGGGACAACACUGACGCUGAGGUACGAAAGCGUGGGGAGCAAACAGGAUUAGAUACCCCCGUAGUCCCUGUCUCUUAUAC